rnacentral:rRNA from 1 species
UACAGAGGUCUCAAGCGUUGUUCGGAUUUAUUGGGCGUAAAGCGCUCGCAGGCGGCUUGCUACGUCGUGCGUGAAACACCCCGGCUCAACUGGGGAGGGUCGUGCGAUACGGGCAGGCUGGAGGCCAGUAGGGGGAUGCGGAAUUCCGGGUGUAGUGGUGGAAUGCGUAGAGAUCCGGAGGAACACCAGCGGCGAAGGCGGCAUCCUGGACUGGUACUGACGCUCAGGAGCGAAAGCGUGGGGAGCGAUCCGG